rnacentral:rRNA from 1 species
GCUAAUGCGUUGCCAGAAUCCGUGGGAAUUCGGAGGGUGCAAGCUUGAUGCUGAUUUAUUGGGUGUAAAGGGUCCGUAGGCUGACUUAUAAGUCAGUUGUGAAAGCCUGUCGCUUAACGAUAGAACUGCCAUGGAUACUGUAAGUCUUGAGUAUAUUUGAGGUAGCUGGAAUAAGUAGUGUAGCGGUGAAAUGCAUAGAUAGUACUUAUAACACCAAUUGCGAAGGCAGGUUACCAAGAUAUAACUGACGCUGAGGGACGAAAGCGUGGGGAGCGAACAGGAUUAGAUACCCGGGUAGUC